UUCCUCUUUCCAGCACUCGCUUCAAAGCAGCCCAUGCAACAAACGUUCUGCUGUAUGCCAAACUCCCAAACUCUGCUGGCUGCCAAGAGGAGACCCAAGCAUUGGCUAAUCAAAGGGUCGGCUCCAACAGUAGCGUGAAUGAUUCUGAUGGAGACGCUCCUGAGACAGAGAGAGCGAGAGAGAGAAUGCUGAAUAAGCUGAUGAGGUGAGAAAAUUUAAAUAUGGAUCUUAUAUUAAAUGCAAUUUUUUUAUGUUUUACUGAAAGGUUUGUUCCUGAUGUUGCUCAGAGACUAUUUUUUUUUUUUAUGUUUUACUGAAAGGUUUGUUCCCGAUGUUGCUCAGAGACUAUUUAGCAAGAACCUCAGCAAUUUAUAACAUGAUACUGCUAAUAUCAGCCUCCAUCUUGGAAUUUGCUCAACUCAUUCUGAAUAAUUACGACACUCAUGUCUGCACUCAGAUCUCAGCAUGUCUGGCAGACAUCUCAUGGAUUACAACUGUUGUUCAUCCGAGGUGAUUCAUCCCCAUGUCAGGAUCUUGCGAUCUCCCUGGACAACUCUCUGAUCCUUCGGUUACUGCACGCACCUUGGGGUAACCAUGGACAAUCAGCUGUCCUUUUCUUCUCACAUUGCUAAUCUGACAUGCUCAUGUCGAUUACUCCUAUAUAACAUCAGAAGGAUUCAUCCAUUUCUAGCCAUUCAGGUGCUUGUUCAGCGCAUUGUCAUUUCAUGACCAAGACUCCAACUCACUCCUGGCAGGUCUGUCUCUGAGCACCAUUCAACCUCUGCAACAGAUCCAGAAUGCAGAUGCACAACUGGGUUUCAACCUUCCUAAGUUCUAACACACCACCCCAUUGCUACAAUCCCUCCACUGGCUUCCUGCACCUGCCCAAAUCCGAUUUAAAACACUGAUGCUUGCCGACAAAGCCAAAAAUGGACCAGCACCCACUUACCUCAAAGCUCUUAUCACAUCCCUCACUGCACCACGCUCCCUCCAAUCCUCUAAGACUGCUCGACUGGUUGCACCAUCUUUCAAGGUACAAGGAAGGCAUGCAUCAAGACUCUUCUCUGUUCUGGCACUGGGGUGGUGGAAUGAACUUCCCCUAGAUGUACGAACAGCUGAGUCACUGGCUGUCUUCGAACGAUGUCUAAAGAGCUACCUCUUCCUAAAGUACUUAAAUUAGCACUUUAAAAAAAUCUUUGUGUUGUCUGUGUGCUUUUUAUUAUUUUACCUCGCCAACAGAGUUUUUAGACUGACGGUAUUCUUAGUCCGUGACCUAGUGAACCAAACAUUAAUGCAAAAUAAUCCAAUAUAAUCCAAAAUAUUGUGAAGUAUUUUGAUGAAUAUAUUUCAAGGUACAGUGUAGUUUGCCCUGUGAUGGGUUGGCACCCCGUCCAGGGUGUCCCCCACCUUGUGCCCGAGUCCCCUGGGAUAGGCUCCAGGCUCCUCGUGACCCUGUGUAGGAUAAGCAGUACAGAAAAUAGAUGGACGGAUAGGUACAGUGUAGUUAUAGCGCACUGGGACAGGCAUAUUCCAUCAUAUUCAUAUUUUAUAUUUCCUUUUAGGUCAAAA